UGUUCGCCUCAUAGCAGAUUUGCAUGUAGAGGGAGCCAGGGAAUACACAGCUCUGACACAGAUAGGUGUGUAAAGUUCAGUGGGGCUGGGCUCAGGUUUAACUGUUAAACGUGACUGUAAAUGGCACACUUUGCUUCUAUUACUCCUGAGAGAAGAAUGGACUCUAUCACGAUUCCUGUUGUCACAGAAGCAUUCCUUUGGGGACAGAUGAGUCUAUGACAUUAUCAACCCUGGACCUUUGACCUGUGGGCCAAAGGAAGAGGGCUGGUUCGCCCCUGAGGUGACUGUCAAUGACGUAGGCCAGGUGGACGACCCCAGGGACCCCUGGAGAAGCCCAGUGGAGGACCCUCAGGGUCAGCCUCCACCCCCGCCCAGAGCCCCUUCCCUGCCUGGGCCACAUCAUCAAGACAUGUCCCCCCACACCCCUGAUCGCCUGAUGAAAGACCCCCAUCCUGACAACCUCAGGUUACCCCUACUGAGAAAAGGCUCAGUGGACUGAGGAUGAGGACUUCUCUUUAUCUGGGCUUCUCCAGCGGGAAGUGGAGGGCUUCGCUGGUCCUUCUAGCUGGCCACGACCUUGGGACUGUUCCCUUAAAGGAGCAGAACACGUAGAAGCCCCUCUUCCUCUCACGUCUGACUUAAACAACAUCCACUGUGUCCCUCCAAGUCACCAAGCACACAUGCCUCCUCAGUGCCCAGAUCCGGUGCACAGCAGGUGUCAGAGACGGUACACAUGUCAGCAGCCCAUAAAUCAAACGUGUCUCCUCUAUAAUCAUCAUUAUAACCAUCUUCACCCUACGGAACCUCAGCAGGACCCUCGCCAGUGCCCACUGUCCUGGACUCCCACGGCUCAAACAGACUAUAUGGACAAGAAGCUCUAAAAGCCUCCAGUCUAAAUCUUCCUCAGUGUGUCGCCCCUCCCAGACAGGUGAUGAGGGAGGUCAGUGUGGUGCCCUCCUACCCAGCGACCCCUGGCCAACCAGAUGGGGGAGGAACAGCUACACAGGAACUGAGGAAGACCAUCAGUCUAUCUGAGGAGUGCAGUAAUUACGUAUCAAUGUCCAUCCCUCAGCAAAACCAAGAUCAUUCAUUUUUAGACAUUAAAGAUCAUUGUUCAUUAAACAGUGGACUUUCGGUGAAUCAGAAGUGAUUGUGUCACCCUAUGAUUUGGCUUUUAAGAAUUCAAUAUUAGUACUUAUAACAUCCUCAAAAACGUGCUGUAAAUAUUUGUCUGAGCACAAUUAGCGUCCAUGUGGUACAAUGCUUUGUUUGAUCGCAGGAAAUGUGUUCAUUACAUAUUCUGUGGACACAGCCAGUAAGAUCUUUACCUUUGUGAAGUUUCUGACAGAUCAGGGCUUUAAACCAGCUGCAAGUUUUCCAUUUUAUUUUAUUCACCCACUCUUUGAAAUACUACUAUUCAAACAUACUUCCUCUCUCUGGCAGAUUGACAUCUUUGAUAGCACGGUUAGAAGAAUGGACAUCAACAAGUGGACGGACAGCUAUUUAAAGGAUGAGGUGCCGUGUUGCAGAAGUCAGUGGUGAUCAUCGUGGUCAUCAGUCCCAAGUCAAGGCAGACGUGGAAAGAGAUGGAGAGGAUGAGCAUGGUCUCCACACAAAGUUCAGGUUCAACCUGUCACUGUGCCAAAACAGCGACUUGUCAGUGAAGAGCACUUUUUGCCAGUCCUGUCUGGUCCAGCGACGGUGGGUUUGUGCCCAUAGGCGACGUUGUUGCCGUUGAUGUCUGAUCCAGAAUGAGUUCAUCCAACAGCGCUGCCUUCAUUUAAGACUGGUACCGGUAUUGUUUCCCACCUCUACGAAGAGAUAUGUCCCUGCCUGGCUUCAGAGCACCAGGAUAUACCACUGGCCCCAGGAUACCCAAGACCUACUUCUCCGUCUGCUAUUAGAGGAACGCUACAUUGGCCCGGCCCCCUCUGGGGAAAGAGCUGACCCUCUCCGUACGACACCUCUGACAUCUCUGAGAACUGCUGAAGACACAUUGUGUUGUGGUGCUUCAUAGAUUUCAAUGUUUAUAUGGACAUUUAGUAAAGGCUUUAAAAAAAAUUUUAACUGAAAUUGUGUGGGUGUUAAGUGGUGUAUCUCAGCACUACUCUUAAAUAGCCACAAGGUGGCAGUAUUUACUUUCUAAUGUUUCAAGUCCUAGACAUUUGCUUGCUAAGGUGGUAAUGGGUUACUCCUGACAUUGUGUGGCGACUGUGGUCCUAAUAAUAUGUGAUAUGAAGAAGUAUUCAAUUAAUAAAUGAAAGUAAUAAUAGCCUGUUGACUGUGAGGUUGUUGAAUUGCCAUGCUAAACAUUUUUACAUUGUAGCCUAUACUACAUAGUUACUACGGUAUUACCCAGUACAACAUCAAGGUCUCACAUUUUUGUGGGUAAUACCAGAUAAGUAGAACA